rnacentral:tRNA from 1 species
GUCUCGAUAGCUCAACUGGUAGAGCUCGCGAUCGAUAAUCGCGCGGUCAGAUGUUCGAAUCAUCUUCGAGACACCA